rnacentral:rRNA from 1 species
UACGGAGGGGGGCUAGCGUUGUUCGGAAUUACUGGGCGUAAAGCGCGCGUAGGCGGACCUGCAAGUCGGGGGGUGAAAGCCCGAGGCUCAACCUCGGAACUGCCUUCGAUACUGCGGGUCUCGAGUCCGGGAGAGGUGAGUGGAAUUCCUAGUGUAGAGGUGAAAUUCGUAGAUAUUAGGAAGAACACCAGUGGCGAAGGCGGCUCUCUGGGACGGUACUGACGCUGAGACGCGAAAGCGUGGGGAGCGAACAGG